rnacentral:rRNA from 1 species
UGAACGCUGGCGGCGUGCCUAAUACAUGCAAGUCGAGCGAACGGACGAGAAGCUUGCUUCUCUGAUGUUAGCGGCGGACGGGUGAGUAACACGUGGAUAACCUACCUAUAAGACUGGGAUAACUUCGGGAAACCGGAGCUAAUACCGGAUAAUAUUUUGAACCGCAUGGUUCAAAAGUGAAAGGCGGUCUUGGUGUCACUUAUAGAUGGAUCCGCGCUGCAUUAGCUAGUUGGUAAGGUAACGGCUUACCAAGGCAACGAUGCAUAGCCGACCUGAGAGGGUGAUCGGCCACACUGGAACUGAGACACGGUCCAGACUCCUACGGGAGGCAGCAGUAGGGAAUCUUCCGCAAUGGGCGAAAGCCUGACGGAGCAACGCCGCGUGAGUGAUGAAGGUCUUCGGAUCGUAAAACUCUGUUAUUAGGGAAGAACAUAUGUGUAAGUAACUGUGCACAUCUUGACGGUACCUAAUCAGAAAGCCACGGCUAACUACGUG